rnacentral:rRNA from 1 species
GUUUCAGCAGCCGCGGUAAUACAGAGAGUGCAAACGUUGUUCGGAAUCACUGGGCAUAAAGCGCACGUAGGCGGCGCCACAAGUGCGGGGUGAAAUCCCACGGCUUACCCGUGGAACUGCCUGGUAUACUGUGGUGCUAGAGGAUGGUAGGGGAGAGCGGAACUCCUGGUGGAGCGGUGAAAUGCGUAGAGAUCAGGAGGAACACCGGUGGCGAAGGCGGCUCUCUGGUCCAUUACUGACGCUGAGGUGCGAAAGCUAGGGGAGCAAACGGGAUUAGAUACCCGCGUAGUCC